rnacentral:pre_miRNA from 1 species
ACAGCCACUCCGCGUCCACCCGGGGGGAACAACCCCCCGGGUGGACGCGGAGCGGCUGUCACUGC